AAUAAUCAAGACGUACAACACACCCUGAACAUAAACCCACACCUAACAUACAACAAGUGAGGUAGGGUAUAAGGAGAAUACAAAAGGAAGACAAAUUAUGUCUGACUCACAAUAUAAAGGUGUGUUUUUGUACUGAUACGCUAUCUGUGUGGUACCAGUAUUUUCAGGCGGACUGUUUCUGCAGGAAAGUAUUGGGGAGCACAGUGGACACAGUAU